rnacentral:lncRNA from 1 species
UUGGCGGCGAGGAAUUUGAGCAGCAUCGAAAAGACUACAGCCCUGAGCUGCGGUCGCAUUCCCACAUCCAGCAUUCCAGCGUAGUGUCAGUCUCAUCAGCAUCUUGUCCGCUUCCUCCUUGCUUCUCUUGGCGCACUCCUCGGUCGAGUUCUUCUUCCACCUAGCUGGCACCUACUAGCUAGCUAGCGCCGUCGCCAUGAGUCCCAUCAUCACGAUGCUGCUCAUCCUCUUCGGCGUCGUGGUCUUCGGCUGCGCGAUCAUGAUCUGUGUCAGGUGCGUCAAGGUGGAGGAGCGCGCAGCAGUGGUAGCAGCGUUCGCAGCAGCUGCAGAAGCGGUAGCAGAAGCUGCAGCAGCACCGUUGGUGGCGCCUGUGCCGGCAGCAGCGGCAGCAGCAGAGCAUGGGCAGGUCCCUGCUGCAGCCGGAGCUGCUGCUGCCGCCGCUGCAGCGGCGCCGCCUCUACCCGCAGCAGGAGCAGCAGCAGCUGCUGUUAGUAAUCCUUUUGUAGUCUGUUACAUAGCAUAGCAUGUUUGUUAUUCUGUUCUGCAUGCACACGAGGGCCGGCUUGUGGUGCCCGUGUGCGUAGGAGGUAGUGGACGAGAUUAGCUCGCCAUGAACCUGAGCAUGCAAGCCAUGGCCGGCUGUUACGGCGCAUGGGGAUGGACGUGCGCAUCCUGCGUGAUCGUGCGGCCGUGGCUUGUGCUGCUCUGCUUUGUAAUUCCAAUAAAUAAGAGUCGAAUACAUUAGAAAACGCUGCCGCGAUUUGCAGCACAAAAAAACUCUGUGUUCCAGUGUUCGUGUGUGUUCUUGUUCCCUCACCUCUGCUCGUGUCCUCGCCGCCGGUGUGCACCGACGUCCGGUGACUGACAAGUGGCAUCAGAGCUAGGAUCGAUCGAGCUCCGCGACGAUCAUGUCGUCACCGCCGCCGAAGAGCACAAAGGAGAAGGGCGACGGUUCCAGCGGCAAGUCCCCGACGCGCUCACGCUCCCCACGGCGUCGCUCCCCGCGGCGUCGCUCUCGUCGCGGUGACCACAGCCGCUCAGUGACCCGCGACGCACGCCGUCCGCGGGAGAUCGUCGUCGAGCGCAUCGUCCGCGAGGGGGGCAGCGUUGGCAACUGGCCGCAGCUGACACGGACCAACUACCAUGAGUGGUCACUCCGCAUGAAGUUGAAGCUGCAGGCGCGCCACCUCUGGGACGCCAUCGAGUUCGACGACGUCGAGUUCGACGACGACCGCAGCGCCCUCGACGCCAUCUGCAGCGCUGUCCCCGGCGACAUGGUGCCCGCGCUCGCCACGAAGGAGACGGCCAAGGAGGCUUGGGAGACCAUCAGGACGCUCCGCAUCGGGGACGAACGCGUGCGGACGGCCACGGCGCAGUCCCUCCGCGCCGAGUACGAGAACAUCGCGCUCCGUGAAGGCGAGGCCAUCGAGGACUUCUCCCUGCGCCUCACCGGGAUCGUGCAGCGCCUUGCGACACUCGGCGACCCCGAGCCCGAGGCCAAAGUGGUGGCCAAAUACCUCCGCGUCGCCCGCGCACGCUACAAGCAGCUGGUAAUUUCAAUUGAGACCUUGCUUGACAUCUCUCAGCUAUCCAUUGAGGAGGUCACGGGAAGGCUCAAGGCGGCCGACGACGUCGAGCCUACACCAGCGCACACUGCGGGCGGUAAGCUGCUCCUUACGGAGGAGCAGUGGAUCGAGAGGUACAAGAAGAAGGACCAAGAGUCCAGUCGCGGCGGCUCCACCUCCGGCGGCCGUGGCAAGCAGCGCGGCAGAGGCCGCGGUCGUGGCUCCGGCGGCUCCAGUCGAGGACCUCCACCAGAUGAGCCUUGCCCGCGCUGUGGCAAGAAGGGGCAUUGGGCCCGCGACUGCCGCAGCAAGAAGAAGGAGGAGCCCGCUCAGCAGGCCCAUGUGGCCCAAGAGGAAGAGGCCACCCUGAUGCUAGCCAUCGGUGCGGCCCAGGAGGAGUCCCUCGUCUCCACUCCGCCGCCCUCGCCACGCUCCACCGAGCCGCCGCCGCCGCAAUCCGUGGCGCUCCCCGAGCUCCACGUCGUGGAGAAGAAGGUCCACGCCGAGCUCAGCGACGAGGCGGACCGGGACCCGUCGCGCUGGAUCCUGGACACUGGCGCAUCGAAUCAUAUGUCCGGAUCCCGCGCCGCCUUCGCCGACAUCGACACCGGCGUCACCGGCUCCGUCCGAUUCGGGGAUGGCUCCGUCGCGCGCAUCGAGGGCAUCGGCACGGUGCUCUUCCAAUGCAAGAACGGGGAGCAUCGCGCGCUCGCCAACGUCUACUUCCUCCCGCGCCUUACCGCCAACAUCAUCUCCGUCGGACAGCUGGAUGAAGGCGGGUACCAGGUGCUGGUGGAACACGGCGUGAUGCGGGUGCGUGACGAAGACCGGCGACUCCUCGCCAAGAUCCCACGGAGUCCCGGGCGGCUGUACACCCUCGACGUCACCAUCGCGCGCCCUGUGUGCUUGGCGGCACGCACUGACGACGACGCCUGGCGAUGGCACGCGCGGUUCGGCCACAUCCACUUCGCCGCGCUGCGCAAGAUGGGACGCGAGGAGCUCGUCCGCGGCCUGCCAGUCAUCGACCAAGUCCAGCAGGUCUGUGAGGCCUGCCUCGCCGGCAAGCAGAAGAGGGCGCCGUUUCCCCAGAAGACGCUCAGGCGUUCCACGGAGCCGCUCCAGCUCCUCCAUGGAGACAUCUGCGGUCCAAUCACGCCGGCGACACCGAGUGGUAACAGAUACUUCCUACUGCUGGUCGAUGAUUAUUCACGUUUUAUGUGGAUCUCCCUGCUGCCGACCAAGGAUGCCGCGGCCAACGCCAUCAAGAACAUCCAGGCCGCGGCGGAACGCAAGAGUGGCAAGAAGGUGGUGACGCUGCGCACAGACCGUGGUGGAGAAUUCGCCGCCGCUGACUUCGUCGACUACUGCGCUCAACUCGGUGUCCACAGGCAACUCACGGCGCCGUACACACCUCAACAAAACGGCGUCGUGGAGCGGCGCAAUCAGACCGUCGUGGGCACGGCCAGAAGCAUGAUGAAGGCCAAGGCUCUCCCUGGGGUGUUCUGGGGGGAGGCUGUGACGACGGCAGUCUACCUGCUGAACAGGUCUUCGUCCAAGGCGAUCGGCGGCAAGACUCCUUACCAGCUUUGGAACGGGAGCACGCCGUCGGUCCAGCACCUCAGGACGUUCGGCUGCAUCGCCCACGUGAAAGUGAACACGCCUCACCUCAAGAAGCUGGAGGACCGCAGCCGGCGCAUGGUGUUUGUCGGCUACGAACCGGGGUCCAAGGCUUAUCGAGCCUACGAUCCCUCGACGCGCCGAGUCCACAUCAGCCGCGAUGUGGUGUUCGAUGAGGCGGCGCAGUGGGCGUGGUCAGCAACGGACCACAACGAGCCUGGAGACUUCAACAUUGAAGAGUCGACGCCGCAGGAGCUCCCUGUGAUCACCACCACCAGAACGACUACGGCUUAUGCUCCUGCAUCGAGCUCCGCUUCACCGACUCUCUCAAGCGUGCACGCGUCUCCUGUCGGCCCCGACCCAGCAUCGCCGUCAAGCCUCGCGACACAGCCCCAGGUCCAGUUCGCAUCUCCACCGGUAUCCGGGGCUGACGAGCAUCUCGACGCCGAUCACGACGACGACGCACCCCUGCGUUUUCGGCGCCUCGACAACGUGCUUGGACAGGCUGACACGCCUGGUCUUGCACACCGCGAGCUGGAGGAACGCUUGCUGCUGGCCAGUGACGCUGAGCCGGCAUCCUUCGAGGAGGCGAUGCGCCACGAGUGCUGGCGCCUUGCAAUGCUUGACGAAAUGACCUCCAUCGAGGCCAGCGGUACAUGGAACCUGGUGGAGCUGCCGGCGCGUGCAAAGCCCAUCGGCCUCAAGUGGGUGUACAAGGUCAAAAAGGACGCCUCCGGCAUCGUCACCAAGCACAAGGCUCGCCUCGUCGCCAAGGGGUACGUGCAGCGGCAGGGCAUCGACUAUGACGAAGUCUUCGCCCCUGUUGCUCGGCUGGAGUCUGUUCGGCUCCUGCUAGCUCACGCCGCCUGUCAAGGCUGGGCUGUCCAUCACAUGGACGUGAAGUCCGCGUUCUUGAACGGCGUGCUCCAGGAGGAGGUGUACGUCGCACAGCCCCCCGGCUUCGUUCUGCGUGGGCAAGAGAACAAGGUCCUGCGCCUCAUCAAGGCCCUGUACGGGCUACGCCAAGCGCCGAGGGCGUGGUACGCCAAGCUCGACAAGUCCCUCAUCGGACUUGGGUUUCGGAGGAGCCCCUCUGAGCACGCCGUCUAUCUGCGCGGAGCCGGUGCACGCCGGCUGGUGGUGGGGGUCUAUGUCGAUGACCUCAUCAUCGCCGGCGGCAACCAGGUCGACAUCGACACCUUCAAGGGACAGAUGAAAGCCACUUUCAAGAUGAGCGACUUGGGCCUGCUCCACUACUACCUUGGUCUGGAGGUGUCUCAGACUGAGGCUGGCAUCACCAUCUGCCAGAGUUCUUACGCUGCCAAGAUCCUAGAGACAGCAGGCCUGACUGGGUGCAAUCCCAGCGCAACGCCGAUGGAGCCUCGCCUGAAGUUGAGCAAGGUGAGCUCAGCCCCAGCCAUCGACUCAUCCAUGUAUCGCAGUGUGGUGGGCUCGCUGCGGUAUUUGGUGAACUCAAGACCGGACUUGACGUACUCGGUGGGCUACAUCAGCCGAUUCAUGGAGAAUCCGACCACCGAACACCUGGCAGCCAUGAAGCGAGUGCUGCGAUACGUUGCGGGCACUCUGCACUUCGGCUGCUGCUACAAGAGGAAGAAGAAUCCCCAGCUGGUCGGCUACAGUGACAGUGACAUGGCUGGGGACAUUGACACGCGCAAGAGUACCUCAGGUAUCCUCUUCUUCCUCGGCGACAACACCAUCACCUGGCAGUCACAGAAGCAGAAGAUUGUGGCACUGUCCUCCUGCGAAGCGGAGUACAUUGCAGCGACGACAGCAGCUUGCCAGGGGGUAUGGCUGGCGCGGCUGCUUGCUGAACUCAAGAGCGAGCAGGCUGACGCCGUCACUUUGAGGAUCGACAACGAGUCCGCCAUCGCACUCAGCAAGAAUCCCGUCUUCCAUGAUCGCAGUAAGCACAUUGAUGUUCGUUAUCAUUACAUUCGUGAGUGUGUUGAGGAAGACAGGGUGAAACUCCAGUCCAUCGGGACGGAGGAGCAGCUGGCGGACAUUCUUACCAAAGCACUGGGGCGUGAACGCUUUUGCGAGUUACGUUCCAGAAUUGGUGUCGUUUGUGUACAGGGACUACACAAGGAUUAGGAGGAGAAUUUGUUAGUAAUCCUUUUGUAGUCUGUUACAUAGCAUAGCAUGUUUGUUAUUCUGUUCUGCAUGCACACGAGGGCCGGCUUGUGGUGCCCGUGUGCGUAGGAGGUAGUGGACGAGAUUAGCUCGCCAUGAACCUGAGCAUGCAAGCCAUGGCCGGCUGUUACGGCGCAUGGGGAUGGACGUGCGCAUCCUGCGUGAUCGUGCGGCCGUGGCUUGUGCUGCUCUGCUUUGUAAUUCCAAUAAAUAAGAGUCGAAUACAUUAGAAAACGCUGCCGCGAUUUGCAGCACAAAAAAACUCUGUGUUCCAGUGUUCGUGUGUGUUCUUGUUCCCUCACCUCUGCUCGUGUCCUCGCCGCCGGUGUGCACCGACGUCCGGUGACUGACAGCUGCAUCAGCAGAGCAGGAGCAGGUCCCUGCCGGAGCCGCCGCACAACAAGGUGGCGCGCCGCCGGCGCCAUGAUCGUCGAGCUGCGGCGUGCGGUUUGCAGUGUAGAUAAUUUGUUGGUUGAUGAGGUAUGGUCUCGAUCUGCUUCGAUCUGGUGUUUUGUGUGCCGCGCGGGGUUCGAUUUCGAUGCAAGCAAUCUCAGCUGAUCAUCUACUUCAUCUCGAUCUGUUCUUUUUUUCUAGUCAGAUGCAGUGUUAGUUCUUCGCUUUAUGUAGGGGGUCUUAGCUUGUGGAUCUAGCAUGCAUGUGAGAAAAAAAUGCACUGUAGUACGUUUGUGUCGUGGAUUAAUCAUUCGAGGAUGCUACUUAAUUAUUGCAGAUUCUGCUCGUAAUGUGCUAGAGCUAGUAGCAUUUUGUUAGAUCAUGGGUGUUUAAUUUGCGCUGAUGGUACGUCGACCGAUUUGAUGAUGCUACUAAUUAAGCUAGCUGGUCGAUCGACCGAUUUCAUUUCCUUUCUUACACGCUCAAUGUUGUGUUGUGAGUGAUGAGAUUUGGUUGCUGCAGCUGAUGCAUGACACGACACCACUGCACUAUACGAACCACCACAUGGCGUCGUCCCAUCCCCACGUACACUCAGUUAAUGGAUCGAUGCAUGCAGCUAAAGCGUGUGGCCCUAGCUAUAGUGACUACUCGAUCAGUGACUAUUGUUCCUCCCGUUUCUAGCUAGCAAGAGCAGUAGGGGCUUUGAUCACAUGAAUCAUGAAUACAUGCUUCCGCAUGCACUGCUCCACUUCCACCCAAAUGUGUCUAGGUUUCCAACUCCAUCGACCAGUCUUUUUCUGUGGGUCCAAAUUAUAAAGUCAUGUACAGAUCUGUUUUUUUUAUCACGACUCAACUGCAAAAUACAUCUACUGGAAUCGUGUUGUGCCUCAUAGACCCUCGAUGAUUGAAAAGCUUUCGUCCUUGCAAGAAAGAUAAAUAGAAUUAGGGUGUGUCUCUGCAGUAGGUGUCUAAAAUUUUGCCUAUCUUACAAUCAUCUUCAACCUCUAGCUCUACUAGCCUCCUGCACAUACCCACCCUGCCUGCCUCACCGGUGGCUGUGCCCUCUGAUGCUGGCACUAGGGUUCGCCGGAGCUCUAGAGAGUUAGGGUCGUGCCCGUGGCGGCUGCCUUACAUUGCCUUCCCUUCCAUGAUGAGCUCCAACAGCGGCAACCUUCCUCCAGCCAUGGUGCCCCCACCCCUCCCUAGUCCGGCUACCACCGUCACUUCCAGGGCCCCUAAGCCGCUUGACCUCCUUCCCUUCCGCUUGACCUUCUAUGACUGCCGGAGUUAAGAAGGAGAGGGGUAGAGAUCGGCAAAACCCUAGCUUGAAGAUAUCUAGGAGGAGGAAGAGAAGGAGGAGGCCUACCUCAACAGAUCUGUCAUGGCUGGUGCGGGUGGGGCAGGAGCUCGGCACAAGUGGGGUGAGGAUUUCGGAGCAGACGCGGGGAGGUCACCGGAGAUAUAUAUAUAUAUAUAUAUAUAUAUAUAUAUAUAUAUAUAUAUAUAUAUAUAUAUAUAGAGAGAGAGAGAGAGAGAGAGAGAGAGAGAUGUGGAAGAAGGGGAGGUCAGGGCGCAGUCAACUGAAGGGGAAGCCGAAUAUCAGACAAUUGUUAGUGAGCAUUUCUGAAAGAAUUAAUGAAAAGCUUUUGUCCUCGCCUAGAUCGAUGCCUUGAAAGUUGGAGAGACUAGAUAGCAUAUAUAGUAUCAUUUUGUUAGAACGAUCGGUAUUUCAUUUGCACAUAUCUCCACAGUUCACGUACUGCGUCAGAUUUGGAUGCAUGCUAGUAAGUUGAUCGAUCGAUUGAUUUUUAGACCUUUUAAUUUCUACUCCUACAUGAUAUCAAGUUAAUAAAGAUGUGAGUGACAUGUGGUUACUGCAGCUAGCUGAUCGACGAGCACGCAUCGCCACGUGCCAUCGUCCCCCAUCUAUCCGUGCACUCAAUCAAAGCAGCUGAAAUAUGCAGCUAUUGUCCUUGCCAUAGUCGUCGUGAUCGUGAUCGAGCUAGCGUGCGCGGCUAGUGUUCGUCCCGUUUCUCGCAAGCGCAAUAGGCUUUGACACCUACAUAUGGAUAUAAAGAUAAAGAUACCUGGACAUUUUGGUGCAAGUUUACAGGAGCAUGGAUAAUUUGCCAUUUCUAUAUGGAGUGUCGCAGAAGCCCUUUUAGUUUUGUCUCCGCCUCCGUGUCGACCGAUCAGUGGUGGUGCCCUCAACGAAGGAAGUCCUGUGAUGCACGAAUGCUGCUAUAGCGCUACUUAAAUUUUGCCCACGAGACCUUGACAAUGUAGACACAUAUGGAUUGUCCACAAGACCCGUCAACCUGUGCUUCAGCACCACUACUGGACGCGGGCUCUUUGCCGAGGGCCCGAAGCCUUCGGCAAAGGCCCAAAAACCUUCGGCAAAGGCUUUGCCGAGGGUGGCCCUCGACAAAGAGCUCUCGGGAAAUUUUGAGUCGGCAAAGAGAGUCUUUACCGAGGGUCUUUUAUCGGGCAGCAAAGAAAAGUAACCGUGACGGCGCUCUUUCCCUUGGACGGUGUCUUUGCCGAGGGCCUCCACCCACGGCCCUCGGCAAAGAAAUUUUGACCUGUUGGCAGCCCUCGGCAAAGAAAUGACUUUUUAAGUUUGUUUUCUCAAAAAAUAUUUUUUUUAAAAAAAACAUUUGCCGAGGGCCUCAUCCACAGCCCUCGGCAAAGAAUUUUUUUUAAAUUUUUUUAAAAACCUUUGCUGAGGGGUCAGCCCUCAGCAAAAGAAAUUUCAUGAUUUUUCAAAAAUUCUUUGCAGAGGGCUGUAGCCAGAGCCCUCGACAAAAGAAUUUUUAUUUUAAAAAACCUUCUUUGCCGAGGGCCUUGGUCAUUGCCCUCGGCAAAAAAACAUUUUUUUUUCUCUUUUUUUGCAUUUAUAUACACAUUUAUAUAUCAAGCACGCCGGAUAAAAAUAUCUUUGCCGAGGGCCUGACGGAUGGCCCUCGGCAAAGCAUGACGAGCCUUGGUUGCCGUGAUCCUAAAGGUAAAAUUUGCCAAGAGCAUCUUUGCCGAUGACUUUUCUUUACUAAGGGUCGGGCCCUCGGUAAAGGCCUCUUUGACGAGGGCUCCUGCGGCUGGCCCUCGGCAAAGAAUGUCUUUGUUGAGUGUCCGAGAUUUGGCCCUCGACAAAGCACGCCCGUUGCCCAUAGAUUGGUUUUUAUUAGUUUAGUUCAUACCGUCAGGACCCAUAGAUUGGUUAUCUUUCAUCCGUGACUCAAUUUUAUUUCAUAAAGCAGUCAUACCGUCAGGACUCAAGAUGGCCUUGCAAAGGGGAUCGAUGUAGUGAGUUACUGACUGUUUUUCCGUCAGAGUUGAUGCAGAGAGGCAACAUAAUAUUUCCUUGCAAUCUCUAAGGUCUCUUGAUUCUUUGCUUCUUGAUUAAAUUAUCGAUUAUUUGGCCUACAUGUAAGUAUUCCUACAGUUCUGGGCAGAUCUUGAAAUUUUCCAGUGUGUGCAGAUUAUUUCCUUGUGAGUAGCAAUCCUGCGCCAAUUGUAAGGAGUAGCAGAUCUGAAGUAAUGGGCAAAAUUUCAGUAAAUGUUCUUACUUUUCGUGCAACUUUCUCUUGCCUUGAUUAAAUUAGAAAUCAAUAAUGAAAUUGGUGAUAUAAAUCUAGUGCCAUUUGUUUGUUGUGUCAAUUGUGCAUCAUGUUAUGAAAUUAUCAGAACCUAAAAUUUAUAGUUGUUUCACCAGACUUGCAGUAAACUUACUGUUAAUUUAUUUCUCAAAAAUGUCCUUGAGGAAUACUCCUGUACUAUUAGACAUCCUAGCAGAAACUGUUGUAAUUUCCAAUUUGCAUAUGAGAUCUGAUAUGAGAAUCAUUCUAGCAAAUAUGUUGCCUUUAGGGCUCCUUAUUUCUCAUCUCGAAUUUUUAAGGACCAUGUGAAUAUAGGCAUUCAGACUUUACUAUUACUUCUUACCUCUCGAGUAACGUAUCCUGUUGAAUGUUUAACUAUUCUAGCAUAUUGACAGACCUCCAAUUUAAGGAUGGUGUGCAUAAUAUUUGUUUGCUUUAAUAGCAGGAUUAUAAACAUAUGGAGAGUUGGGAACUACUUGUUUUAGAAAAGGAAAUAAAUUAAUAUCCCAGCUUUUGUAUCGAUUAAUACGUAUGGUUGUUCGUUAUUAUAAACUAGGAAGAAAACGUCCAGGGUAUCUCAAAAAAAAGUUUUGCGCUAUAGAGCUAAAGAUGAACUAAAAGACCGGUACUAGGAGCAAUUCUAUAACUAAAACUCCAGCCAUGUCUAGCAAAUACUUCCAUCGUGGCUGUCUCAAUGGUCUUACAACCCAUCUUCAUGAAAAGGCGAUCCUCAUCCUUCUGUAACAGAGACCAAAACCUGGUCUAGUAGGUCCCACUAAAGAUAUAUCCUGCAAAUAAGAUGGUGCUACAGUCUUGUUAAAAACUAAAUCAUUUCUGCUUAUCCAAAUUACCCAAAAAAAAGCACUUGCACCCACAAUAAUCUAGGAUUUAAGUUUCCUAUUUAUCCCUUCCAACCAGUCUGAGAAAAUAUUGUGUAUGCUAGUUGGCUGUGAUAAAUUAAAGGAAACAUGAAUAAUUCUCUAAAUAAACUUAGCAAAAUGACAAUCAAAAAAUAGGUGUUGAAUAGACUCGUUUGAGGAGCAAAGCCAAUAUUUCCUAUCUCCUUGCCAUUGUCAUCAUGCUAAUUAAAUUAUCAUUGGUUAGGACUACUCCUUUGUACAAGUACCAAAUGAAGACUUUAAUUUUGAGAGGCAGCAUUCCAAAUAAAAGUAUUAAAAGGUAAAGUUUGUGUUACUAAAAGAGCUUUAUACAUCGAUUUGUCAGAGAUCUCCUGAAGGCUACAUUUAACAGUAUCAUAGACAUCACUCAUCGUACAAAUGCAUUUCUCUUAUCACAAUAUUAUAAAGUGUUGGGAAGAGCGAUUUCAGCGGGCGGGGAUCUUAUCCACGAAUCCUCCCAAAAUUGUACUUGAUACCCCUCACCUAGAUCAAACUUGUCUAAUAAGAGGAACUCCGUCUUAACCUUCAUAAGGCCAGCCCAAAAUUGAGAAUCCACGGGCAUAUAUUGAAUCUGAGUCAAACUUCUAUUCUUUAGGUACUUAUUCCUAAGCAAUUGCUACCAAACCUUAUCGUCAUUUAUUUAUUUAAAACAACCACUUGUUGAGAAGGCAUUUGUUGUGAAUUUCUAGAUUCAGGACUCCCAGGCCUCCUUGGUAUUUUGGAGUGCACACUACCUUCCACUUAGUCAAUCUAUAUUUGUUCUUAUGUUCAUCACUCUGCCAAAAACAUGAUCUCAAGUAAUCUAGUUUCUUCAAAUACCCCUUUCGAAAUUUCAAAAAAAGAUAACAUGAACAUAGGGAGACUACACAAGAUAGAGUUGAUAAGAAUGAGCCUUCCUCCUACUGACAGCAUCUUGCCCCUCCAACAAUUGAGUCUUUUUUAGAAUCUUAACAUAUUUUCGGUCCUUAUUCAAAAGUUUUCUAUGGUACAUAGGAGUUCCUAGGUAUCUAGAUGGGAAAGAUCCUACACUGCAUCCAAAAAUCUAUGUAUAUUCAAGUUGAUUGGCUUUGGCCGCCUCAAAGCAGAACAACUCGUUUUUAUGGAAGUUGAUCUUGAGUCCUGAUAAUUGUUCAAAAGCACAAAGCAGGAGCUUCAUGUUUUUGGCCCUCUCUAGAUUAUUACCCAUAAAGAUAAUAGUAUCAUCCGCAUAUUAGAGGACCUAAAGUCCCUCAUCAAUCAAAUGUGGAACAACCUCUUUUAUUUGUUUCGCCUCUUUAGCUCUUAAAAUAAGGACAACUAACAUGUCCACCACUAUAUUAAACAAGAUUGGGGAUAGUGGAUCCCCUUCACGCACUCCUUUUCUUGUUUGAAAAUAAUGGCUGACAUUGUCAUGAACAUUACUGCAAUACUCCCUCUAGAGAUAACUUUCGACAUCCAAUCACACCAACUUGGUGAGAAACCUUUCAUUCGAAGAACUUGUUCUAUGAAGGGCCACUUUAGCUUAUCAUAAGUCUUUUCAAAGUCUAGUUUUAAAAUUGCAGCAUUUUGUUUUUUCCGAUGUAGCUCAUGAUUUGUUUCAUGUAAAAGUCACAACUCCUUCCAUUAUAUAGUGACCUGGAGUAAAAUCCGUUUGAGAUGGUUUUAUCAACUUAUCUGCCACUUUCAAAAGUCUAUUGUUUAGUACUUUUGUAAAAAUGUUAAACUCACAUUGAGGAGGCAAAUUGGUCUAUAUUGUUAUAGCUAAAUCAAUGCAGCUAAAGUGUGCAGCUAUUGUCCUUGCCAUAGUCGUCGGGUGGGCUCGUGAUCGAGCUAGUAGCGUGCGCGGCUAGUGUUCGUCCCGUUUCUCGCAAACGCAAUAUAUAGGGUUUGACACCUAUAUGGAUAUAAAGAUAAAGGUACCUGGACAUUUUGGUGCAAGUUUACAGGAGCAUGCAUGGUUUGCCGUUUCUAUGGAGUGUCGCAGAAGCACCUUUUAGUUUUUGUCUCCGCGCCUCCGUGUCGACCGAUCAGUGGUGGUGCCCUGAACGAGAAGUCCUGUGAUGCACGAAUGCUGCUGUAGCGCUACUUAACUUUUGCCCACGAGACCUUGGCAAUAUAUAUGUAGACAUAUGGAUUGUCCACAAGACCC